rnacentral:rRNA from 1 species
CCUACGGGAGGCAGCAGUGAGGAAUAUUGGUCAAUGGACAAGAGUCUGAACCAGCCAAGUAGCGUGAAGGAUGACUGCCCUAUGGGUUGUAAACUUCUUUUAUAUGGGAAUGAAAUGUUCCACGUGUGGGAUUUUGUAUGUACCAUAUGAAUAAGGAUCGGCUAACUCCGUGCCAGCAGCCGCGGUAAUACGGAGGAUCCGAGCGUUAUCCGGAUUUAUUGGGUUUAAAGGGAGCGUAGGUGGAUUGUUAAGUCAGUUGUGAAAGUUUGCGGCUCAACCGUAAAAUUGCAGUUGAAACUGGCAGUCUUGAGUACAGUAGAGGUGGGCGGAAUUCGUGGUGUAGCGGUGAAAUGCUUAGAUAUCACGAAGAACUCCGAUUGCGAAGGCAGUUCACUGGACUGCAACUGACACUGAGGCUCGAAAGUGUGGGUAUCAAACAGGAUUAGAUACCCUUGUAGUC